AAACACUGGCUGACCAGGGAUCUGAAACUUGAUCGUUUUCUCAAAACAAUCAACAGUAGCAUGGUAUGCUGCCAACCAGUCCAUUCCAAGAAUCAAAUCAAAGUCAUUCAUCUCUAAGACCAACAAGUCUGCAUUCAUUUCUCUGUCCUCAACGCCCAAAAUACAGUUUUUGCAAACUGAAUUAACUAAUAUAACAUCUCCACUUGGCGUUGAGACACAAAGAUCAAAUUCUAAUGGCACCGGUGAUAUUUCAGUAUUCUUUCUAACAAAAUUGGCCGAUAUGAAUGAGUGGGUAGCACCAGAGUCAAAUAAAACAUUUGCAUCAUAUGACAUUAACCUAAUCAUUCCUG
rnacentral:lncRNA from 1 species